rnacentral:rRNA from 1 species
AGAGUUUGAUCCUGGCUCAGAACAAACGCUGGCGGCGUGCCUAACACAUGCAAGUCGUACGAGAAAGUCGGCUUCGGCCGAUGAGUACAGUGGCGCACGGGUGAGUAGCGCGUGGGUAAUCUGCCCCCCGGUCAGGAAUAACCCGCCGAAAGGCGGGCUAAUACCCGAUAACACUGACGCUCCGCGGAGCGUCUUUCAAAGAAGGCCUCUGUUUACAAGCUUUCGCCGGAGGAUGAGCCCGCGUACCAUUAGCUAGUUGGCAGGGUAAUGGCCUACCAAGGCUACGAUGGUUAGCUGGUCUGAGAGGAUGGCCAGCCUCACUGGAACUGAGACACGGUCCAGACUCCUACGGGAGGCAGCAGUGAGGAAUCUUGCGCAAUGGGGGAAACCCUGACGCAGCAACGCCGCGUGAGUGAGGAAGGCCUUCGGGUCGUAAAGCUCUGUCAGAUGGGAAGAAAUGGAUGGGGGCUAAUAUCGCCCAUCCUUGACGGUACCAUCAGAGGAAGCACCGGCUAACUCCGUGCCAGCAGCCGCGGUAAUACGGGGGGUGCGAGCGUUGUUCGGAAUCAUUGGGCGUAAAGAGCGCGCAGGCGGCUUGGUGAGUCAGAUGUGAAAGCCCUGGGCUUAACCCAGGAAGUGCAUUUGAUACUGCCUCGCUAGAGUACGGGAGAGGAAAGUGGAAUUCCUGGUGUAGAGGUGAAAUUCGUAGAUAUCAGGAGGAACACCGGUGGCGAAGGCGACUUUCUGGCCCGAUACUGACGCUCAGGCGCGAAAGCGUGGGGAGCAAACAGGAUUAGAUACCCUGUAGUCCACGCCGUAAACGAUGUUCACUAGGUGUUGGGGGUAUUGACCCUCUCAGUGCCCGUAGCUAACGCAUUAAGUGAACCGCCCGGGAAGGUACGGUCGCAGGACUAAAACUCAAUGAAUUUGACGG